rnacentral:rRNA from 1 species
GAUGAACGCUGGCUACAGGCUUAACACAUGCAAGUCGAGGGGAAACGACGGGGAAGCUUGCUUCCCCGGGCGUCGACCGGCGCACGGGUGAGUAACGCGUAUCCAACCUGCCUCUGACUGAGGGAUAACCCGUCGAAAGUCGGCCUAAUACCUCAUGGUAUCGUCUGCGGGCAUCCAACGACGAUUAAAGAUUUCAUCGGUCAGGGAUGGGGAUGCGUCUGAUUAGCUUGUUGGCGGGGUAACGGCCCACCAAGGCUACGAUCAGUAGGGGUUCUGAGAGGAAGGGCCCCCACAUUGGAACUGAGACACGGUCCAAACUCCUACGGGAGGCAGCAGUGAGGAAUAUUGGUCAAUGGGCGAGAGCCUGAACCAGCCAAGUAGCGUGCAGGAAGACGGCCCUAUGGGUUGUAAACUGCUUUUAUGCGGGGAUAAAGUGAGGGACGUGUCCCUCAUUGCAGGUACCGCAUGAAUAAGGACCGGCUAAUUCCGUG